CCCUUGGAAAGUUCUGACUUUUCACUGAAGUGUCAGGCAUCUAAACCCAGAAAUAUUUUCUGAGCAAUCAAAGGUAUUUAUUAUAAAUGUUAAUUUAGCAUCUCACAGAAAUUGUAAGCUGAGUCCCUCACCCUGACCAAAAAAUGCUUUUAUGGAUAUGCAAUAGUCAAGAACCACUGUGACAGAAUCCAGAAUAACACCCACUGUUUCAAAACAGAAAAUCAUAAUUUAGGAAGGGGCAGACAGAGCACUCUAGUCUGUAAUCUAGAGGUGUGCGUGCCAAAAAAAGCAGUGGGAGCUGCUCUAGUGGUGUUCCGGAAUAAAAUUAUUAGCUAUAGAAGAAAAAUAUAUAUAUUUUUAGUAAAGGUAUCAUAAUCUCUCAUCUGGGUCAUGGCAAUGCCAAAAAUGCAGAUGGAUGAAAGGAAACUGGGUUGCUAAAGUGAAACUAAGGAGAGGCAUCUUUCAUGAUACCGAUAGCCACAAAUCAUCAUGCGCUACUUGUCAACUACUGCUACACUAUUAAGCCUUCUGUAUAAGUAGCUAAUUAGGUUUCUGGAGAGCUUACCUAGUAUCUCUCUCCCAUGUCUCACUGACUCCCCAGAAGAUGAGCAUCUGUCCCUGGGAAAAAAACUGUCACGGGCAGUGGCACUUGCAACACCUUACCCCCACACAGCUUCCUUCUUUGCUCCUGUUUUUCUAGGCCCCUGGUAUCCCCAGCUGAUCACACACUAGUUGUCCCUGGCUCUUUAGGGAGUAGAGGAAGUAGCACCACCGGCUAGUGAGUAAAGAGGAAAAAGCAGUCUCCUUCCCCAGGAGAAGCAGGGGCUGUGCAAAACACUAGGGUGAGAACUGGACAGCACAGGAAUGAAAGCAUAGAGAGAGAAUGGUCCCAGAUAUCCAGGGUGAUAUCACACAAAAACCUAAUAUUGUAGAUAAUGCCACAAUCUGGCAAUUUUACUACUGUUCACCAGUUAAACACAUUUGCCAUGACGAUGUUUGUGAAGAUUGAGUCUAGUUAACAUAGACUAUGUCAACCUUCUGUGACAGUACUGAAGGUACCUAUUGCCUGGGACACCUACUCUGUGUGACACCUGUAACAAAAUAAACAUUUGACCCUCUGAAAGCUGUCUACCACUAAUCACAUCGUGGCUGGGAUAAUGUUUUUACUAUGCACCAUGCUGUGCCUAGCCAGAGCAUACUAAUAGUUCUGCAGAGAUAGAUAAAUCUCUCAACUGGUGUCCAUUUCCAUGAGAUCUUCAAUGUGAUAUGGAAAUAUUUUUCCAGAGUAGUCCAUUACUGUAAUUGUAUUCAUUUAUAUUUGAGAUAGGAGUUAAAAAAAUAAAUAAAAAUCAGUAUUGCUUUAAAUCUAAAUACCUUGCACACAGCAAUUUUCUCAAGAUGCUAAACGUGUUAAGUGCCCUCUGUAGUCUGUUAUUGGCAAACUUGAAGCUAAUAAAAAUAAUUGAGAAAAAAACUAAUACAGCAUUGUAAAACCCAUUCAAGAACCUCAGUACUUAUUCCACUUGUAGAGAACAACAAGGAACUUAGAUGCUGUGCUUCCACAGAAUAUUAGCAAGCUAAAUAGAGCAGAGCUAAGCAACUAGAAAGGCAGGGUUUUGCAAGUAUAGUCACACUGAUAUAACCUGGGACAACCAGUCAUUUAAAAAUUAGGAAAAUAAAUACAAAAAGAGAGAUGCUUAAAGCUUAAAUAUUUCUCAUAUACUAAGCCAGCUGCAGUUCCAGAGGGAAAUAACUUCAGUGAGCACUUCUAUGAUUUUCCUAGUGUAAAAAAGCUUCUAAGGUGAUAAUUAAUUGAAUUCAUAAAAUUUAAAUUUGAGGCUGCACAAGGCCUUUUAAACUAUCAAGUCUGAACUCUGGGGCAUCAGACUUAAAUUUCAUCUUGCAUUGAUUUCAGAAACUUAUGUGAUCUAAAGGAUACCAGAAAUUAGAAAAGCAUCCAUUCCUGAUGAGAAGAUACCAGCAAUGGAGAGUUCAUUGCUUCCCUUAGGAAUAUAUUCCAGUGCUUAGUCACUGUUAAAACAUCUGGUUUGUGUCUUUUAGCACAGAUUUAGCUUAUAGCCUGCAUUUAUCUUUUAAAAAUAAACAUUCCAGUAUCAUGCAUUUUUUCUUGAAAAAAAAUUCAAAAGUUCAUUAAAUCACUGUUUUACAUUUUCCUUUAUUUUUAGUAUUUUCUGGGAAGAAUGAGAGGGCUCCUGCUUUCUUAUAUCCUUCGUAGCUUCUUGGAAACUACUUUAAAACAUGGACUACCACACUGGGCAUGGCAUUCCAGAACUGAUCUCACUAGUGUCUAAUACAGAAGCACUGGCACACCACUUUUGUUGUCUACUCACUGUUUGCAUGCAUCACUUCUCUCAGAGCUCAUGAGAAGUCAUGGCACUACAACCCACAAGCACUGCAGGGAAUCUUGCCCUCCUUGGUUAUUGAUUUUCAGGAAUAUAAUUAGAGGAAAUAUGUUUUAAUGAGACCAGUUUACUAGGAAAUCAAGGUAUGCCUACAUGACUGCUAUGUCCUCAUGUUCUAGUCCUGCAUCAUCCACAUACUUUAUUAUCAGAGGUUUCACAGUGGUGAAAUUAUCAAAUAUCCAGUUUUCUACUGACCCCUCUAAAACCUGUCAUCAACAGCCAAGCAAUAAUUUUUAAGUUCACUGAAUCAGAAUAGGCUGUACUUCUGAAAAAAAAAAAAAAAAGCCAA